rfam:Ipomoea nil DNA, scaffold: scaffold2942, cultivar: Tokyo-kokei standard.
GUGGCUGUAGUUUAGUGGUAAGAAUUUCACGUUGUGACUGUGGAAACCUGUGCUCAAAUCCCAACCACCACG